AUGAACGCUAGCUACAGGCUUAACACAUGCAAGUCGAGGGGCAGCAUGAACUUAGCUUGCUAAGUUUGAUGGCGACCGGCGCACGGGUGAGUAACACGUAUCCAACCUGCCGAUGACUCGGGGAUAGCCUUUCGAAAGAAAGAUUAAUACCCGAUGGCAUAAUUCUUCCGCAUGGUAGAACUAUUAAAGAAUUUCGGUCAUCGAUGGGGAUGCGUUCCAUUAGGUUGUUGGCGGGGUAACGGCCCACCAAGCCUUCGAUGGAUAGGGGUUCUGAGAGGAAGGUCCCCCACAUUGGAACUGAGACACGGUCCAAACUCCUACGGGAGGCAGCAGUGAGGAAUAUUGGUCAAUGGACGAGAGUCUGAACCAGCCAAGUAGCGUGAAGGAUGACUGCCCUAUGGGUUGUAAACUUCUUUUAUACGGGAAUAAAGUGAGGCACGUGUGCCUUUUUGUAUGUACCGUAUGAAUAGGGAUCGGCUAACUCCGUGCCAGCAGCCGCGGUAAUACGGAGGAUCCGAGCGUUAUCCGGAUUUAUUGGGUUUAAAGGGAGCGUAGGCGGACGCUUAAGUCAGUUGUGAAAGUUUGCGGCUCAACCGUAAAAUUGCAGUUGAUACUGGGUGUCUUGAGUACAGUAGAGGCAGGCGGAAUUCGUGGUGUAGCGGUGAAAUGCUUAGAUAUCACGAAGAACUCCGAUUGCGAAGGCAGCUUGCUGGACUGUAACUGACGCUGAUGCUCGAAAGUGUGGGUAUCAAACAGGAUUAGAUACCCUGGUAGUCCACGCCGUAAACGAUGAUUACUAGGUGUCGGGGGACCAAGGUCCUUCGGUGCCGCCGCAAACGCAAUAAGUAAUCCACCUGGGGAGUACGUUCGCAAGAAUGAAACUCAAAGGAAUUGACGGGGGCCCGCACAAGCGGAGGAACAUGUGGUUUAAUUCGAUGAUACGCGAGGAACCUUACCCGGGCUUGAAUUGCAACUGAAUGAUGUGGAGACAUGUCAGCCGCAAGGCAGUUGUGAAGGUGCUGCAUGGUUGUCGUCAGCUCGUGCCGUGAGGUGUCGGCUUAAGUGCCAUAACGAGCGCAACCCUUAUCGAUAGUUACCAUCAGGUUAUGCUGGGGACUCUGUCGAGACUGCCGUCGUAAGAUGUGAGGAAGGUGGGGAUGACGUCAAAUCAGCACGGCCCUUACGUCCGGGGCUACACACGUGUUACAAUGGGGGGUACAGAAGGCAGCUACACGGCGACGUGAUGCUAAUCCCUAAAGCCUCUCUCAGUUCGGAUUGGAGUCUGCAACCCGACUCCAUGAAGCUGGAUUCGCUAGUAAUCGCGCAUCAGCCACGGCGCGGUGAAUACGUUCCCGGGCCUUGUACACACCGCCCGUCAAGCCAUGAAAGCCGGGGGUACCUGAAGUGCGUAACCGCAAGGAGCGCCCUAGGGUAAAACUGGUGAUUGGGGCU
rnacentral:rRNA from 1 species